AUGGCCCCUCCCCGUGUGUGGCAGCAGGGUGGCCACCAACCAUCGGGCAGGGGUCCUGUGGCCACCACCAACCGUCAGACGGGGGUCCUGUGGCCACUGUCAACCAUGGGCAGGGGUCCCCGUGGCCACCACCGGCCACCAGGUAGGGGGUCCACAUGGCUACCAUCAACCAUCAGGCAGGGGGUCCCGUGGCCACUAUCAGCCAUGGGCAGGGGGUCCCUGUGGCCACCAUCAACCAUUGGGAAGGGGUCCUGUGGCCACCACCAUCCCCUACACAGGGGUCCCCAUGGCCACCACCAACCCCCAGGCAGGGGUCCCAUGGCCACCAUGAGCCACCAGGCAGGGGUCCUCGUGGCCACCACUAACCAUGGGGCAGGGGUCCCCAUGGCCACAACCAACCCCCAGGCAGGGGUCCCCAUGGCCACCAUCAACCAUCGGGAAGGGGUCCCUGUGGCCACCACCAAUCCCCAGGCAGGGGUCCUCGUGGCCACCACCAACAACCAGGCCAGGGUCCCUGUGGCUACCACCAGCCACCAGGCAGGGGUCCCAUGGCUACCAUCAACCAUCGGGCAGGGGUCCCGGUGGCCACCAACAACCAUCAGGCAGGGGGUCCUGUGGCCACCACCAACCCCCAGGCAGGGGUCCCAUGGCCACCACCAACCACCAGGCAGGGGGCCCCUGUGGCCACCAUCAGCCAUGGGACAGGGGUCCUGUGGCCACCACCAACUAUCAGACAGGGGUCCCCAUGGCCACAACCAACCCCCAGGCAGGGGUCCCCAUGGCCACCAUGAGCCACCAGGCAGGGGUCCUGUGGCCACCACCAACAACCACACUAGGGUCUCCACGGCCACCACCAGCCACCAGGUAGGGGGUCCACAUGGCUACCACAGACCAUCAGGCAGGUGGCCCCUGUGGCCACCAUCAGGCAUGGGCAGGGGUCCCGUGGCCACCAACAACUAUCAGACAGGGGUCCCUGUGGCCACAACCAACCCCCAGGCAGGGGUCCCCAUGGCUACCACCAACCACCAGGCAGGGGGUCCCUGUGGCCACCAUAAGCCAUGA
rnacentral:lncRNA from 1 species